CCUGUAACAAUCUCAACUAUCAAAAAGGAAAAAACCCCUUCCCCUCAACUGUUUGAAAGAAAAACAAGAUCCCGAAACAACCAAAAGCCCAAAAAUGUCCUCCACAACCACACCAAUUUCCACCGCCACCACCACAACCCCGACGCGAACCGGAUCAUCCGAUGACAUAAUCGACACGACGCCGUUUCUUUCCCCUGGUCAACAAAAUGAACCCAAUCCCAAUUCAAGC
rnacentral:lncRNA from 1 species